rnacentral:rRNA from 1 species
UUCCGGUUGAUCCUGCCGGAGGUCAUUGCUAUUGGGGUCCGAUUUAGCCAUGCUAGUUGCACGAGUUCACACUCGUGGCGAAAAGCUCAGUAACACGUGGCCAAACUACCCUACAGAGAACGAUAACCUCGGGAAACUGAGGCUAAUAGUUCAUACGGGAGUCAUGCUGGAAUGCCGGCUCCCCGAAACGCUCCGGCGCUGUAGGAUGUGGCUGCGGCCGAUUAGGUAGACGGUGGGGUAACGGCCCACCGUGCCAAUAAUCGGUACGGGUUGUGAGAGCAAGAACCCGGAGACGGAAUCUGAGACAAGAUUCCGGGCCCUACGGGGCGCAGCAGGCGCGAAACCUUUACACUGCACGCAAGUGCGAUAAGGGGACCCCAAGUGCGAGGGCAUAUAGUCCUCGCUUUUCUCGACUGUAAGGCGGUCGAGGAAUAAGAGCUGGGCAAGACCGGUGCCAGCCGCCGCGGUAAUACCGGCAGCUCAAGUGAUGACCGAUAUUAUUGGGCCUAAAGCGUCCGUAGCCGGCCACGAAGGUUCAUCGGGAAAUCCGCCAGCUCAACUGGCGGGCGUCCGGUGAAAACCACGUGGCUUGGGACCGGAAGGCUCGAGGGGUACGUCUGGGGUAGGAGUGAAAUCCUGUAAUCCUGGACGGACCACCGAUGGCGAAAGCACCUCGAGAAGACGGAUCCGACGGUGAGGGACGAAAGCUAGGGUCUCGAACCGGAUUAGAUACCCGGGUAGUCCUAGCUGUAAACGAUGCUCGCUAGGUGUGGCACAGGCUACGAGCCUGUGCUGUGCGCGUAGGGAAGCCGUGAAGCGAGCCGCCUGGGAAGUACGUCCCGCAAGGAUGAAACUUAAAGGAAUUGGCGGGGGAGCACUACAACCGGAGGAGCCUGCGGUUUAAUUGGACUCAACGCCGGACAUCUCACCAGCUCCGACUAUAGUAAUGACGGUCAGGUUGAUGACCUUACCACGACGCUAUAGAGAGGAGGUGCAUGGCCGCCGUCAGCUCGUACCGUGAGGCGUCCUGUUAAGUCAGGCAACGAGCGAGACCCGCACUUCUAAUUGCCAGCAACAGUUUCGACUGGUUGGGUACAUUAGAAGGACUGCCGCUGCUAAAGCGGAGGAAGGAACGGGCAACGGUAGGUCAGUAUGCCCCGAAUGAGCUGGGCUACACGCGGGCUACAAUGGUCAAGACAAUGGGUUGCUAUCUCGAAAGAGAACGCUAAUCUCCUAAACUUGAUCGUAGUUCGGAUUGAGGACUGAAACUCGUCCUCAUGAAGCUGGAUUCGGUAGUAAUCGCAUUUCACAAGAGU